rnacentral:rRNA from 1 species
CCUACGGGAGGCAGCAGUGAGGAAUAUUGGACAAUGGGCGCAAGCCUGAUCCAGCCAUGCCGCGUGCAGGAAGAAGCAUCUAUGGUGUGUAAACUGCUUUUGUACAGGAAGAAGCACUCCCUCGUGAGGGAGCUUGACGGUACUGUAAGAAUAAGGACCGGCUAACUCCGUGCCAGCAGCCGCGGUAAUACGGAGGGUCCGAGCGUUAUCCGGAAUCAUUGGGUUUAAAGGGUCCGUAGGCGGUUUAAUAAGUCAGUGGUGAAAUCUGGUCGCUCAACGAUCAAACGGCCAUUGAUACUGUUAGACUUGAAUUAUAAGGAAGUAACUAGAAUAUGUAGUGUAGCGGUGAAAUGCUUAGAUAUUACAUGGAAUACCAAUUGCGAAGGCAGGUUACUACUUAUGGAUUGACGCUGAUGGACGAAAGCGUGGGGAGCGAACAGGAUUAGAUACCCUGGUAGUCCACGCCGUAAACGAUGGAUACUAGCUGUUCGGAGCAAUCUGAGUGGCUAAGCGAAAGUGAUAAGUAUCCCACCUGGGGAGUACGUUCGCAAGAAUGAAACUUAAAGGAAUUGAGG